GUUGGAAAACCUGUUCCCAUACGACCACCGAAGUUAAGCCACACCGAACCUGGUCGCUACCUGGAUGGGUGACCACUUGGGAAUACU